AGAGUUUGAUUAUGGCUCAGGAUGAACGCUAGCUACAGGCUUAACACAUGCAAGUCGUGGGGCAGCGGAUACUUAGCUUGCUAAGUAUGCCGGCGACCGGCGCACGGGUGAGUAACGCGUACCGAACCUGCCCAUCACACAGGGAUAGGCUUGCGAAAGCAAGAUUAAUACCUGAUGGUCUCAGUUGUAUGCAUGUAUAAUUGAGUAAAGCCUUCGGGCGGUGAUGGAUGGCGGUGCGUCCCAUUAGGAAGUUGGCGGGGUAACGGCCCACCAAUCCUUCGAUGGGUAGGGGUUCUGAGAGGAAGGUCCCCCACAUUGGAACUGAGAUACGGUCCAA
rnacentral:rRNA from 1 species